CAAACGGAGUUUUGAGUCAUUAAGAUUUCAGACUAGUGUAAAUGUUGGGUCCCACUGUGAAGUGAGAUCCCUCCAAAAAUAGGCGUAUGCCACUUAGCGUGGAGAGCACACGGUAUUCUUUAGUAAAAGGCGAAAGAAUAGUUCGCUUUGUGCUCACCACAUGGCUGCGUGAUUAUUAUCAAGGGAGAGUGAAGUCUAUUU
rnacentral:sRNA from 1 species